CCUACACAUGCAAUCGAACGCAGCACGGGGCAACCCUGUGGCGAGUGCGAACGGUGAGUAUACAUCGGAAGUGUCCGUAGUGGGGAUAGCCCGGCGAAAGCCGGAUAAUACCGCAUACGCUCGAGAGAGGAAAGUGGGGAUUCUUCGACCCUCACGCUAAAGGGGCGGCCGAUGGCAGAUUAGCUAGUUGGUGGGGUAAAGGCCUACCAAGGCGACGAUCUGUAGCUGGUCUGAGAGGACGACCAGCCACACUGGGACUGAGACACGGCCCAGACUCCUACGGGAGGCAGCAGUGGGGAAUUUUGGACAAUGGGGGCAACCCUGAUCCAGCAAUGCCGCGUGUGUGAAGAAGGCCUUCGGGUUGUAAAGCACUUUUGUCAGGGAAGAAAAGGGCGUCCCUAAUAUGGAAGCCUGAUGACGGUACCUGAAGAAUAAGCACCGGCUAACUACGUG
rnacentral:rRNA from 1 species